rnacentral:rRNA from 1 species
UGAACGCUGGCGGCAUGCCUUACACAUGCAAGUCGAACGGCAGCACGGGUGCUUGCACCUGGUGGCGAGUGGCGAACGGGUGAGUAAUACAUCGGAACAUGUCCUGUAGUGGGGGAUAGCCCGGCGAAAGCCGGAUUAAUACCGCAUACGAUCUACGGAUGAAAGCGGGGGACCUUCGGGCCUCGCGCUAUAGGGUUGGCCGAUGGCUAAUUAGCUAGUUGGUGGGGUAAAGGCCUACCAAGGCGACGAUCAGUAGCUGGUCUGAGAGGACGACCAGCCACACUGGGACUGAGACACGGCCCAGACUCCUACGGGAGGCAGCAGUGGGGAAUUUUGGACAAUGGGCGAAAGCCUGAUCCAGCAAUGCCGCGUGUGUGAAGAAGGCCUUCGGGUUGUAAAGCACUUUUGUCCGGAAAGAAAUCCUUGGCUCUAAUACAGUCGGGGGAUGACGGUACCGGAAGAAUAAGCACCGGCUAACUACGUGCCAGCAGCCGCGGUAAUACGUAGGGUGCGAGCGUUAAUCGGAAUUACUGGGCGUAAAGCGUGCGCAGGCGGUUUGCUAAGACCGAUGUGAAAUCCCCCGGGCUCAACCUGGGAACUGCAUUGGUGACUGGCAGGCUAGAGUAUGGCAGAGGGGGGUAGAAUUCCACGUGUAGCAGUGAAAUGCGUAGAGAUGUGGAGGAAUACCGAUGGCGAAGGCAGCCCCCUGGGCCAAUACUGACGCUCAUGCACGAAAGCGUGGGGGAGCAAACAGGAUUAGAUACCCUGGUAGUCCACGCCCUAAACGAUGUCAACUAGUUGUUGGGGAUUCAUUUCCUUAGUAACGUAGCUAACGCGUGAAGUUGACCGCCUGGGGAGUACGGUCGCAAGAUUAAAACUCAAAGGAAUUGACGGGGACCCGCACAAGCGGUGGAUGAUGUGGAUUAAUUCGAUGCAACGCGAAAAACCUUACCUACCCUUGACAUGGUCGGAAUCCUGCUGAGAGGCGGGAGUGCUCGAAAGAGAACCGGCGCACAGGUGCUGCAUGGCUGUCGUCAGCUCGUGUCGUGAGAUGUUGGGUUAAGUCCCGCAACGAGCGCAACCCUUGUCCUUAGUUGCUACGCAAGAGCACUCUAAGGAGACUGCCGGUGACAAACCGGAGGAAGGUGGGGAUGACGUCAAGUCCUCAUGGCCCUUAUGGGUAGGGCUUCACACGUCAUACAAUGGUCGGAACAGAGGGUUGCCAACCCGCGAGGGGGAGCUAAUCCCAGAAAACCGAUCGUAGUCCGGAUUGCACUCUGCAACUCGAGUGCAUGAAGCUGGAAUCGCUAGUAAUCGCGGAUCGCAUGCCGCGGUGAAUACGUUCCCGGGUCUUGUACUCACCGC